AUGCUUCUUGGAGAUUUCAACAUGAUAUACAGAGCCAACGAUAAGAGUAACAGCACCCUGAAUUUGCGAAUGAUGGGUCGCUUCAGGGCUGCAAUUGAGGACAUGGAGCUCAUCGAUUACCCUUUGCUCGGAAGACGGUUCACUUGGUCAAACGAGCAGGAAAAUGUCACGCACACAAAGAUUGGCAGAAUUUUGGUGUCCGGUGACUGGGAAGCGGCUUACCCCCAAUAUCAGCUUUCGCCGGCUUCAGCGAACAUAUCUGACCAUUGCCCAAUCAUCCUGAGGAAAAUGGAGUAUUCACAUUACAAAGCCUUCAGAUUCGAAAACCAUUGGCUUAAAGAUCCUGGUUUUGAUAAUAUCGUUAGCCAGGCAUGGACAAAAGAGGUUAGUUCGAAUGACCCUGUGCGGGUGCUACACUGCAAGCUGUCCAGAACGGCGAGGGCCCUACGAUUAUGGAAUAAGCAGAAGUCGAGGUGGGCUGUUUUCAUGUCUGGGAUCGCCAACGAGAUCAUUUUUAGGCUUGAUCUGGCACAAGAGGAAAGAGCUCUUUCUGAAGAUGAAAGACGGCUACGUGGGCUGCUCAAGACCAAACUACUGGGGCUGGCGGCAAUUGAUAGAGCAAGAUGGCGGUAG
rnacentral:rRNA from 1 species